rnacentral:rRNA from 1 species
UACGUAGGGUGCUAGCGUUGUCCGGAUUUAUUGGGCGUAAAGGGCUCGUAGGCGGCUUGUCACGUCGGAUGUGAAAGCCCGGGGCUUAACCCCGGGUCUGCAUUCGAUACGGGCUAGCUAGAGUGUGGUAGGGGAGAUCGGAAUUCCUGGUGUAGCGGUGAAAUGCGCAGAUAUCAGGAGGAACACCGGUGGCGAAGGCGGAUCUCUGGGCCAUUACUGACGCUGAGACGCGAAAGCGUGGGGAGCGAACCGG